GAUGAACGCUGGCGGCGUGCCUAAUACAUGCAAGUCGAGCGAACGGACGAGAAGCUUGCUUCUCUGAUGUUAGCGGCGGACGGGUGAGUAACACGUGGAUAACCUACAUAUAAGACUGGGAUAACUUCGGGAAACCGGAGCUAAUACCGGAUAAUAUUUUGAACCGCAUGGUUCAAAAGUGAAAGACGGUCUUGCUGUCACUUAUAGAGGGAUCCGCGCUGCAUUAGCUAGUUGGUAAGGUAACGGCUUACCAAGGCAACGAUGCAUAGCCGACCUGAGAGGGUGAUCGGCCACACUGGAACUGAGACACGGUCCAGACUCCUACGGGAGGCAGCAGUAGGGAAUCUUCCGCAAUGGGCGAAAGCCUGACGGAGCAACGCCGCGUGAGUGAUGAAGGUCUUCGGAUCGUAAAGCUCUGUUAUUAGGGAAGAACAUAUGUGUAAGUAUCUGUGCACAUCUUGACGGUACCUAAUCAGAAAGCCACGGCUAACUACGUG
rnacentral:rRNA from 1 species